rnacentral:rRNA from 1 species
GAUGAACGCUGGCGGCGUGCCUAAUACAUGCAAGUCGAACGAACGGACGAGAAGCUUGUUCUUCUGAUGUUAGCGGCGGACGGGCGAGUAACACGUGCAUCACCUACUUCUAAUUCUGGGAUAAUAUCGUGAAACCGGAGCUAAUACUGGAGCAUAUUUUCAACGGCUUGGAUCAAAAGUGAUUGGCGGCUUUGCUGUCUCUAAUAGCCGGUUCCGCGCUGCAUUAGCUAGUUGGUAAGGUAACGGCUUACCAAGGCGACGAUGCGUAGCCGACCUGAGAAGGUGAUCAGCCACACUGGAACUGAGACACGGUCCAGACUCCUACGGGAGGCAGCAGUGGGGAAUAUUGGACAAUGGGCGAAAGCCUGACGCAGCCACACCGCGUGGGUGAUGAAGGUCUUCGGGUCGUAAAGCCCUGUUGUUGGGGAAGAAAAGCAGUAUGAUUAUACGUCGACAUCUUGACGGUACCUAAACAAAAAGCACCGGCUAACUACGUG